rnacentral:tRNA from 1 species
GGUAUCUUGCCCGAGUGGUCUAAGGGGGCGGGCUUAAGAUCCGCUAGACAUACCAGUCUGCGUGGGUUCAAACCCCACAGAUCAGUGUUGUCA